AGCAGCAAAAAGUUAAAGGGGUUACAGAGUGGGUAAAUGUUUGCCGGGUAGAAUAAGAGAGCCCUUUGUAACCUCUCAUGUUAAUUUGAUAUUAGAAAAAGUCUCCGAUUCACCAACAGAGAAGCCAAAAUUGUAGAUCAGAAAUAAUUUUCUGCUUUAAAAUUUUUCAUCUUAAAUAGUUUCUCAACAUUAAAAAGAUUAAAAGUCCCGCAUAUUAAGUUUUCAGUAACGCAUAAACAGACCCAGUGAAAGAGUGAACACAGAUUCAUUGAAGCUAAAAAUACAAUGUAACCUAACUUAAGAAGCUAGAGCUGAUUUAUUUGACAAUGCAUGGUUGAUAUCGACAACAUAAUUCUCUUUGCCCUCUGUUUAAUCACUUAUUCAUGCGUAACGGUCAUUCAAAGAUAGCUCAACAUUUAUCUGAAGUUGCUAUUUACCGAUUGCAGUUGAAAUCCCCAAGUCAAAUCAUCUCCCUUCUCAUCAAUUAGGGGUACAUUACUUUUAUUUGGAAAAACGGGCGCGUUAGGGCACGACUUUAAGAAAGCUAAUGAUAACACAAAAUCACUAUUGUUGUCACUGCCACCUGCCCUUUUAUCGUAUUUCAAGUUGGCAAAGGAUCUUUGCUUGUGUUCGCUUGUUCACGUGUCUGGUACGAUCCAUUGAGAGACGGGAGACUUGUUUUGAUAGCAGUCUGUUUUGAAAACACCGUAGUGGCAGUCCGCAUGCAAAUCACCUAGGGGAUUGCAGAACAAGGCAGCUCGAAUAUUUUAAAUUGGUCGUAGCCAGUAGCAGCUAUUUUGUGGAAAUGGAGGCAAAUGAAGGCGAAGAGGACGAUACAGUGAGGUUUGUAGACGACAGGAUUACCAGUAUUCCGACCAAAUGCGUGGCCGAUGCACGUGCUUUCCAAAGAGUGCAGCGUACACGAAGCUAUAGUUGUUGUGAGAACCCACACAGAUAUGAUCGCCCCCAACCCGAUCAGGGCGAAGAACUGUUUGAAAGACGACCUCGAAGUAAUAGUGAACCCUUGAAAGUACCCAGGACAAAAUCACAGGCAAGACGUUCACAAGUGAGGUUUCUUACCCCGUUCUCACAAAAAGAUUUGGAAGGUCUAUCUGAUGUGAUUGCUGGCGGUAAAAACAAAAUGAAAGCCAUUGACCUUGACUUUAUUGGUUUACCAGUUAAUGCUCGGCGAACUGAGAGGCUAGAGGAUUUAGAAGAGGUGUCUGAAGACACCGAGGAGGUUCGCGACUUGAGGCUAAGCCAUUUUGAAAAGGCCUUAGCGGAAGGCCGUCUGAAACUGAAAAGUGAUCGUAUUUGGAGAUACAAAAAGCAUCGUAAAGGCUUCAACAGCCAGCCUGUAGAGGAAUGGCUCUACAAUAACAAUAGCGAUAUGAUAUCCGCCCCAUUCAAGAGUGCAUAUUAAAACUGAAAUAAUAUUAGUAACGAAAUGUUGUACAUAAUUUUUUCCGUUAGUUUAUGCCUUUGACAUGAAUAUUGGGUCUUCCUUGAAGGGACAUUUCGCUACGAUUAUGAGGGCCUUUUCACUUGCAAGGUGAGAAAACUAACAUCUUUUCAUCAGCUAAUUGUUAAAAACAAGCAACAAUUUCGCGCUAGGGACAAAUACAAUUUAUAUUGUUCUUAAAUUGUUCAAAUUCUUUUGUGUAGAUAAUAUUGUAUAUAUUUGGUAGUUUGAUUGCAACAGAAAUGUAAAAACCAAUGAAGAUGUCUAGGUAUCACCCCCCUGAAUCGAAAUAGGAAACCAAGCCAUAUUUGAAUAUUCAAUAAUAUGAGAGCAAAAAUACUUUCUUUUGAAAACAGUUUCAGUCUUUAUAUUUUGACGGUUGUAUGUAACAAAUUUUGUUCUUUGCUCAAAUAUCGUUUGUAUUUGCUUUUGAGUUCGGAUGGCAUUUAAUCGUUGUUGUUAAAAACUAUGUUUUUGAAACACAGUAACAUUGUUGUUGGGUUUAAUGAAUGUAUUUUCCCGUUGUCGUUGUUUGAAUAUUGUAUUAAAUGAUAAUGUAGAACAAGAUCAUAGUAAAUUGUCUUGGAUUUAUAAAACUCGUUGUGGUUUAAUAAUGACGUAUAAACAUUUAUUUCUUUGCAGAAAUCGCUUUCCUCUUUGGAUAUUGGUCUUCAAAAAACGAUCAUAGAGCCAUGUGGAUUCCCCCCGAACCCCCCCCCCCCGUCAAUAUUCCCUCUAUUCCGAAAUGUGCCCUUAAAACCUAGUAUAUAUUUGCACCAGCGCAGGAAAGCAGGGGCUGUAAAGAGCAUUAUAGGUUUGGGAAUGGGGCUAUCACUACUUCCGCUUUCGAAGUUCCUACAGAAGAAUUGAAGCGGAUAAAUCUAAAAAAACCGCGAUACUAGAAUCAAAGAUUUUUUUAUUUUCAAAUACAUAAACAAAAUAUUAAAAUGAAAUGUGAUGCCUUCGGUGGAUGAAGUGGAUUAGACAAGAACAAUAUAACGAACAAGGUUCGCAUGUGAUUGGUUCUCUACAAACGAUAGCUAGAGCGUAGGUCUUGUGUGAAUAAUUUGGAGCUUGUACAUUAUAACUGUCAACGUCAUAAGCUUGUCAAAACUAGACUAAUGUUUGGGCAGAGAGUCCCCAAGAAAACAGGAAGUCCCCAAGAAGCCUUUCUGUCUACUGGAAACACUUGAAACCAAAAAGGGCGACGGGUUCAUCGUUAAUCAAGAAAAUUCAGAUUUUCAUUCUAAAAGUAUUUUUCUCUAUUCUAAACAAGUUUCACGCCGCGUUUAUUUUCGGCCAGUAAAUCUACAAUGACUGCCAAAAGUACUUGGAACACCUAGCAAUUUACGCUGCAUUUGAUAUCUUUCAUUCCUUUCAUGAAAAAAAAUUGCUACUUCCGCCCCCUUCCCCCUAUAACAAUGUUGAUGAUUUUAGAGAAAUAUCAUAAAAGAAGCGCAAAAGAAAGUGCUUCCCAAAAUCCUAACCCGCUUGAUAGUAAACCAACAUUGUUCUGUAGGGGAGAGGGGGAUGAUUGAUUUUGACCUUGGAAAUUGAUGUCAGUGUUCCAAGACUUUUGGCAGGCAUUGUAGGCUAGGCAGCAUUUGAAAAGAAGGCACCUACAUUCUGCACCUACAUUCUGCACAUAUAUUCUUUUCCGGCUCUUUUUCAACAGAAAUAUGCAUAGGCUUGAAUCAAGAGAUGCUUAAGUCAUUUUAAAUUCGAAUUUAGGGAGAGAGAAAUGUAUCAAGGGAAGAUGAAAGUAUAAGAGUGAAGUUUAAUCAGAUAAAAAACGGUUUGCCUUUGUCAGUCCAUCAUUGAUGGUUUUUCUUCAAAGAUUCUUAAGCCAGCAGUUUAAAUACCAGUGAAUAACCUGUAAACAUCUCCAGUCUUAGUCGAAAAACCGAAAAAGCAUCUUGAAUAUCGCGAUAAUUUCUUAUAGAAAUGGGAAAAGUAAAGAGGAUUGUAUAAAUACUGCCAAGAUGUUCAAACAGAGGUUUGCUAAUUUUUAAGUUUGUUUAGCAAAAAAUACGAUAGAGAACGGCCUAGAUCUAAAAGGGACAGAAGGCAGAUGCUUAAAUGCAGAAGCCGAGAUUCGGGUAUAAAAUAUUAUGAGGUAAUUGUGGUAUAACAAAUACAAAGUGAUAUGGUUCAAUGUAACAGUACUUAUUGUGGUUUAGGAAAACUUUUCCUAUAAAACAAACACAAAGAUCACUUUGCACGGAGUUAUAAGGCCCUCUUUUAUUAACUCUGUUUUGCCCACCUCAUUGACUUUACCAUAGAGUUCUGAGAGAUGACGUCAUAAAAACCAGUUAUUAGAAUAUUGGAUACUGGACAACAUAACUUGAAAAAUUAUUACCUAAAAAUGUGAAAAUAUCAGUCGACGGUGCAUCAAACUGGUACCAAAUUUGAGUCAUUUCAGUCAAUUUUAGAAGUAUUUCAUCGUUUGUUUUGAAUAGGUGAUCAGAAGUCAAUUAGAUUUUUUCAAUAAUGUCAAAUUUAAGAACUUUACUGCCAUUGGAUUUGUUUGCGACGGGGGGAUGAUGAAGAGCAAGUUGAUACUGAAGACUUGAAAACAACCUUCUGGAGAGCAUGCAAAAGUUUUCGAUAGAAUAACAAGCCGAUUUAACGCCAAUUCAAAAAACAGUGUUUGACAAUGUUUAUCCGAUUAUCGAUGCAAAGCAGAUUGGAUAGUGACGUAAAUCUAAACAUCUGUUUUCUAAACACUGAAUAAAAAAUGCACAGGAGAACACAGUCAUAUUUGUACAAAGUGUACGUUGUAUCGCGCGUUAAACGACAUAAUUAUUAAUCUCACAAGCAAUCUCCAGCUCGUUUCUAGAGCAGCAUGAAAACAUCGUAUUUAAAACUACUACUGCCGAUGUAAAUAGGGCUUAGGUAUUACAACUUCAACAGGUUUCGAUUUGUGUUAUUCGACCUUGACAAGGUUCAACUAUUUAUGACAUUAUGAGCGAAAUCUGACUAGCUGAUCGGCUAGGUGAGAUAGCAUUCGCUUCCGAGUUGACGUCAUUGAUUUUUUUAUCUCCCUAUUUACAUACCUUUUUCAAAGACGGACCUCAGAUUUGAAAUUCUCGUGGUAAAUAUUGCCUGAAUGAGGAAUUUCGUGUCGUUUUGACUGCCCAGUCACGAAAUAAUACGUUUUGAACAUAAAGACAUAAAGAUUAAAUUUGAAAACGACGUAAUUCAUGACCUGUCUGUCCAAGAAACAUGAAAUUUUCGACACAGUGUGUUUUGAACAUGAAGAUUCCAACUCUUUAGUCCAUUAUUGGUAAAUAUGAAGAUAAAAAAUUGACAUUGCCAACUCGGAACUAUGAACAGCAGGAAAAAUACAGACCAAAAGGCUUUAACCAAAAUUGACGGACUGAAUAUUAAGAUCUGCAUCAUUCAAUUGGCAUCAAAACAAAAUUGUUAGGGAGAUGCAGAUUGCUACAACAACAAAUUGAAAUAAAGGAUUUGCCAAUAGGAUUUAGCAACAGUGAAGGAGGCAGCAAAGGGGGGCCGACAAAGGCAAGAGGGUCCUUCUUUUUAGAAUCAUUUUCCAGUAAACGGAGGUAGCAUUUUUGAUGAAGAGAACGGAUAGCAGUUUAAAUGAUUCUUGAUCGUAAUUACCCUGGGUACCAGAGCCUCAUGAAUUCAGGGAUAAUAUGUAUCCUCGCUCAAAAACAUUUUUCUGAAGCUCGUCAGGGAAUCGAUCGCGGUGUCGUUGAAGUAAUUAUUGAUAAAGUUUGGUAACGCUGAUAUAAACAAUAGAGUAUUUAGAUACUGAGGAGGAGAACCCCAGAAGCAGGAUAGGAUAUUCUCCGUAAAAGGCAACAGAAAUUAUACAGCUUUUUGAGUUUCACGGCGGCUUCAUUUGCAGAAAGAAAUUGGCCAGUUAAAUCAUUCAAUACGGUUUUUGAGCCAAUAGAUCUACUCGUCCACCUGCAAAGCUCUUGAUGGGAAGAAAUAUUAGAACGGAAUUACCAGAGCACACAGAUACUCAAGUCAACAAAGAUUGAAAAGAAUGAGAUAAAAUGAAGAAGAGAAAGAAGAAGGAAUAUGCAGAUAGAUAAGUUAUGUCGCUAUUCGAUCCAACCAUACACAAUCACACAAAGAAUUGGCUCUAUGAUUACUGCAAGCAGACAUGGAAAGAGUAUUACAAGGAGUGUGUCGUUCUUUAAAAGAAAAAGUCUAAAAGAGUAAUUCUUAAAUCUCUCCUACUUUCUAAAAGCAGACUCUUAAAACAUUAGGCCAUGAUAAAAGAAGAGGGUAUACCCAAAAACGUCCAGUUAUGAUUUUUCUGUUGCAUUACUAUUCGCGGACAAUAGACAGAUCACAUGAAGCUACCUUGUACUGGUCUUGGAAACGGUUACGUCAACGGUCAGUUGUAAACAGUGAUAAACAAACUCACAUGAGAUCAUAGUCACCUGUUUACUGUGACUCAAUGCCUUCAAAGUGUAUUAGCAAAGGUUGAAGCUGGAAUUAGCUAAACGCAUAAAGAUCUAAAUAUAGAUCAAGUGUAUCAUCCAAUGGCAGAGCAGUGAAAACAAACAACAUCAUCCCCCAACAAACAAUAUAAUGCCUCAACAGCUUGUUUUUUAGAUCCAUCUUAUCAUUGCAUCAAUAUUUUACGCGGAGACCUGAACAAUUAAAUAUACCGAAAAUCCUUGAAAUGGCCAGCUCCUCAAAAAAGCCCCCCUCGAAUAAGCCCCCACUCUAGAACUACAAAUUGUCAAUAAGCCGCCUCCCCUCGAGUAAGCUCCCACUGCUACCGUAAAUCCUCGAAUUGCCCCCCCCCCGACUUGUUGAUUAUUGCCAUUUGAGGUUGUCUUUGGUGCUUUAUCAAACUACCACAAAAAUUCAUACUUUUGGUAAUAAUUGAUUAAAUGCUAAUAAAGAAAUUCCUACUCAAAUAUACAAGAUCUUUUAAUAAUGUCUUCUUGAUAGCUACUUUAUUUUUAUAAGCUCCCCUCUUAUAAGCCCACCCUCGAAUAGCCCCCCAUCCAAAAAUAUCAACAAUAAAUAAGCCCCGAGGAUCACGGUAUUGUAGUUUUGCCUCCGUUACGCCCGAUUAAAAAUAAAGAAGGAAGCAGGAAAUGGUUUCUCGACUCACCUGGUCAGUUGCUAGGUAUCCAGAGAAAGCAAACAUUAUCCAGUUGAAGACUAUCCGCAGCCUGAAAAAAUACAGUUUGUUAGCAACGUGCCAUGUAACAAAAUAUGAACUGAGAAGGCACGCAGCUUGGCACAAUAUCGUGAUGCAAGAAAGCCUUAAAUACAAAAUAUGAGCAUUAAAUACAAAAUAGGACAAACCUAGGAAAACAAGAAAAAUCUAUGUUUGAAUAUGUGCUUUAAAGAAAUUGAAUCUACUCACGGCUGGCCACCAAUAUCCAAUAUAUGCUUAAACAGCCAUGGUUCGUGAGACUGGAGCAGAUUCUCAAACAAUGAGCAUAAAGCUAGUACUCCCUGUAAGAACAAAGCUGUGCAUAAGGUUUUCUGGCGAGAGAUUUUUUUAGAAUGUUCGUUCCGUCAAGAAGGUUUAGUCACCGCAGUGGAAGAUUGUUAACUUUUGUACACGUGGCAUUGUUUUCUAACACUGAUGCAACGAUAACAGUUCAAAAAAUAAAUAGCUUUUAAGAGAAGAAUAAAACAGUCGAAAAGUUGAAAAGGCAUCACAUAUACAUGUAAACAUAAAUUAAUGGACAAUGUAAAAUAAAGGAUACUUCAAGCAGGAAGCGAAUCAUUACAUUGUUAUAUUAUUCUGUACAGGUAGCCUCCAGACAACGAACACCGCACCAUAACAGAGGGUGGCAAUGUUCUACUCAAUGUCCAUUCUAUAAAAAUUGCACUAUAUGUAGUAAUAGGUUAAGCUUGCCAGUCAAAAAAAUUCAAAAUUCAAAUGAAAAUGAGUCUCAUUUGUUGAGCUGCAAAAUAUCUGUGUCCUCAUUCUACUUUAUCAUGCUUCAUUUUACAAAUACCAGCGGCCUAUUAUUUAUUAAUGUACAAAAAUGCAGAAAUUAACUAUGUAACAAACAAACAACAAUGAAGG